rnacentral:rRNA from 1 species
UUUGAUCCUGGCUCAGGACGAACGCUGGCGGCGUGCCUAAUACAUGCAAGUCGAGCGAGCAGAACCAGCAGAUUUACUUCGGUAAUGACGCUGGGGACGCGAGCGGCGGAUGGGUGAGUAACACGUGGGGAACCUGCCCCAUAGUCUAGGAUACCACUUGGAAACAGGUGCUAAUACCGGAUAAUAAAGCAGAUCGCAUGAUCAGCUUAUAAAAGGCGGCGUAAGCUGUCGCUAUGGGAUGGCCCCGCGGUGCAUUAGCUAGUUGGUAAGGUAACGGCUUACCAAGGCAAUGAUGCAUAGCCGAGUUGAGAGACUGAACGGCCACAUUGGGACUGAGACACGGCCCAAACUCCUACGGGAGGCAGCAGUAGGGAAUCUUCCACAAUGGACGCAAGUCUGAUGGAGCAACGCCGCGUGAGUGAAGAAGGUUUUCGGAUCGUAAAGCUCUGUUGUUGGUGAAGAAGGAUAGAGGUAGUAACUGGCCUUUAUUUGACGGUAAUCAACCAGAAAGUCACGGCUAACUACGUGCCAGCAGCCGCGGUAAUACGUAGGUGGCAAGCGUUGUCCGGAUUUAUUGGGCGUAAAGCGAGCGCAGGCGGAAGAAUAAGUCUGAUGUGAAAGCCCUCGGCUUAACCGAGGAAUUGCAUCGGAAACUGUUUUCUUGAGUGCAGAAGAGGAGAGUGGAACUCCAUGUGUAGCGGUGGAAUGCGUAGAUAUAUGGAAGAACACCAGUGGCGAAGGCGGCUCUCUGGUCUGCAACUGACGCUGAGGCUCGAAAGCAUGGGUAGCGAACAGGAUUAGAUACCCUGGUAGUCCAUGCCGUAAACGAUGAGUGCUAAGUGUUGGGAGGUUUCCGCCUCUCAGUGCUGCAGCUAACGCAUUAAGCACUCCGCCUGGGGAGUACGACCGCAAGGUUGAAACUCAAAGGAAUUGACGGGGGCCCGCACAAGCGGUGGAGCAUGUGGUUUAAUUCGAAGCAACGCGAAGAACCUUACCAGGUCUUGACAUCUAGUGCCAUCCUAAGAGAUUAGGAGUUCCCUUCGGGGACGCUAAGACAGGUGGUGCAUGGCUGUCGUCAGCUCGUGUCGUGAGAUGUUGGGUUAAGUCCCGCAACGAGCGCAACCCUUAUUAUUAGUUGCCAGCAUUAAGUUGGGCACUCUAAUGAGACUGCCGGUGACAAACCGGAGGAAGGUGGGGAUGACGUCAAGUCAUCAUGCCCCUUAUGACCUGGGCUACACACGUGCUACAAUGGGCAGUACAACGAGAAGCGAGCCUGCGAAGGCAAGCGAAUCUCUGAAAGCUGUUCUCAGUUCGGACUGCAGUCUGCAACUCGACUGCACGAAGCUGGAAUCGCUAGUAAUCGCGGAUCAGAACGCCGCGGUGAAUACGUUCCCGGGCCUUGUACACACCGCCCGUCACACCAUGGAAGUCUGCAAUGCCCAAAGCCGGUGGCCUAACCUUCGGGAAGGAGCCGUCUAAGGCAGGGCAGAUGACUGGGGUGAAGUCGUAACAAGGUAGCCGUAGGAGAACCUGCGGCUGGAUCACCUCCUUUCUAAGGAAG